AUUGAACGCUGGCGGCAUGCUUUACACAUGCAAGUCGAACGGCAGCGCGGGCUUCGGCCUGGCGGCGAGUGGCGAACGGGUGAGUAAUGCAUCGGAACGUGCCCAGUAGUGGGGGAUAGCCCGGCGAAAGCCGGAUUAAUACCGCAUACGACCUGAGGGUGAAAGCGGGGGACCGAAAGGCCUCGCGCUAUUGGAGCGGCCGAUGUCGGAUUAGCUAGUUGGUGGGGUAAAGGCUUACCAAGGCGACGAUCCGUAGCUGGUCUGAGAGGACGACCAGCCACACGGGGACUGAGAAACGGCCCAGACUCCUACGGGAGGCAGAGGUGGGAAAUUUUGGACAAUGGGGGCAACCCUGAUCCAGCCAUGCCGCGUGCGGGAAGAAGGCCUUCGGGUGGUAAACCGCUUUUGUUGGGGAAGAAAGCCUCUGGGCUAAUACCCCGGGGGGAUGACGGUACCGGAAGAAUAAGCACCGGCUAACUACGU
rnacentral:rRNA from 1 species